AUUCCAUGAUGGGGGUAUUUCCAUAAUAGUUCUUUAAAUCUUUCCCACGCUUCAUAUAAGGACUCAUCAUCCAUCUGUUGGAAGGUAGUGAUUUCAUUUCGCAACU
rfam:Gossypium hirsutum cultivar TM-1 chromosome 1, whole genome shotgun sequence